rnacentral:lncRNA from 1 species
GUGAAAAUCUUCCCAAAUUUGGGCUAGGUAGAAGCCUUUGGAAAACAAGACCAUAUGUUAAGACGCAUGUAGGAACUUCGGCGACUUGGUGGUGAUAAUUUUGUCCUCGGGGAGCCCCCUUGCCCUUUCCUGUGUCAGUGCCUGGACCUGGGGUCUCCACCCCGACACUUCCAGCCCCGGGGUCCCCACAGAGUCAGGGUAGAGCCCACAGACCCACCUCUGCUCAUGGGGAUUGCUCUCAGGAAAAAGCUCUGUACGAGCCGCAUGCAUUCACCUUGGGUAUGCGAGCAUGGAAGCGAAAUAACCCAAGUUACACGUUUUUGCCACGCACACAGCUGUGGGGAGGGAAGGUCUCGUUCCCAAGAUCUGCCUGCAUAACCACGAUGAGGAAGAGGAUGUUUUGCUUCACAGUAGCUUACUCAUUUGCCUACAGUUUAAUUAAGCCCCUGAGAAGUCGUUGGCUGACACUGCUUUCUGGCCGGACAGUGAAUAAAUUUCCUAGCUGGAGGGAAACUUCUUCCUGCGAUGGGGGACAGGAUGUCUUCGUGAGACAUUUUACCAAUGGAUUUACUGCAAUGGAGAGAUUCGGGAAUGAACAUUGUAUUCGAGAGCGUAUCUCAUAUCUGUGCUGCUUGAAGCUGUCAAGACACAGCAGCUUUUCUGUGGAGAACGAAGCCAAAGGUCAGCUCGCCUAA